GUGCUCGCUUCAGCAGCACAUACACUAAAACUGGAACCAAACAGAGAAGAUUAGAUGGGCUGUUCACAGGAUGCCAUGCAAAUUCCUGAAGCAUUCCAUACUUUU
rnacentral:snRNA from 1 species